AUUGAACGCUGGCGGCAGGCCUAACACAUGCAAGUCGAGCGGAUGAGUGGAGCUUGCUCCAUGAUUCAGCGGCGGACGGGUGAGUAAUGCCUAGGAAUCUGCCUGGUAGUGGGGGACAACGUUUCGAAAGGAACGCUAAUACCGCAUACGUCCUACGGGAGAAAGUGGGGGAUCUUCGGACCUCACGCUAUCAGAUGAGCCUAGGUCGGAUUAGCUAGUUGGUGAGGUAAAGGCUCACCAAGGCGACGAUCCGUAACUGGUCUGAGAGGAUGAUCAGGCACACGGGAACUGAGACACGGUCCAGACUCCUACGGGAGGCAGCAGUGGGGAAUAUUGGACAAUGGGCGAAAGCCUGAUCCAGCCAUGCCGCGUGUGUGAAGAAGGUCUUCGGAUUGUAAAGCACUUUAAGUUGGGAGGAAGGGCAGUAAGUUAAUACCUUGCUGUUUUGACGUUACCAACAGAAUAAGCACCGGCUAACUUCGUGCCAGCCGCCGCCGUAAUAC
rnacentral:rRNA from 1 species